AGCUCGAUGAGUAGGGCGGGACACGUGGUAUCCUGUCUGAAUAUGGGGGGACCAUCCUCCAAGGCUAAAUACUCCUGACUGACCGAUAGUGAACCAGUACCGUGAGGGAAAGGCGAAAAGAACCCCGGCGAGGGGAGUGAAAAAGAACCUGAAACCGUGUACGUACAAGCAGUGGGAGCACCCUUUGGGGUGUGACUGCGUACCUUUUGUAUAAUGGGUCAGCGACUUAUAUUCUGUAGCAAGGUUAACCGUAUAGGGGAGCCGGAGGGAAACCGAGUCUUAACCGGGCGUUAAGUUGCAGGGUAUAGACCCGAAACCCGGUGAUCUAGCCAUGGGCAGGUUGAAGGUUGGGUAACACUAACUGGAGGACCGAACCGACUAAUGUUGAAAAAUUAGCGGAUGACCUGUGGCUGGGGGUGAAAGGCCAAUCAAACCGGGAGAUAGCUGGUUCUCCCCGAAAGCUAUUUAGGUAGCGCCUCGUGAAUUCAUCUCCGGGGGUAGAGCACUGUUUCGGCUAGGGGGCCAUCCCGGCUUACCAACCCGAUGCAAACUGCGAAUACCGGAGAAUGUUAUCACGGGAGACACACGGCGGGUGCUAACGUCCGUCGUGAAGAGGGAAACAACCCAGACCGCCAGCUAAGGUCCCAAAGUCAUGGUUAAGUGGGAAACGAUGUGGGAAGGCCCAGACAGCCAGGAUGUUGGCUUAGAAGCAGCCAUCAUUUAAAGAAAGCGUAAUAGCUCACUGGUCGAGUCGGCCUGCGCGGAAGAUGUAACGGGGCUAAACCAUG
rnacentral:rRNA from 1 species